AUCUUUGCCCUCUACCUUGCGGACCCGUGCCCUAGAUCGCCGGGAGCCAGGAGCGUGCGUCGAUGAUAGAGGUCUCCGAUCAAGAAGGGGAAUCCUAGCUCUAGUCUUGACCCUUUCUCCUCAUCGUCGGCUUGGAUUUACCGUGCCGUGCCCUAGCUCCAAGCUUCGGCUCCUCUUUAGGGCAAGGGUGUUUCGGUAAGGUAACAACAAGUGGAGAAGAAUUUCAGGAGGUGAAGUUCUGUUCUAUUCUGUGGUGUAUAUUUCUUGAUCACCUGAGAUGUUAUCUUCAUCUGAUCAGUGGGAAGGAUUUUAGCAGUGAGGCUCUAUUACUGUGAUGCUGGAAUUGUGAUUAUUGAGGUGUUAUCCAGCAACUUUCCCUAACCGGUAGCAACAUCUUUGAUUGUGAUCUAUUGGUGAUCACCUUGGAUUUGGUGGACACAGGACGUUGACGAGAGACGAGCAUCUUGACGUUGGAUUUGACUGGAUUGGAUCUACAGUUAAAGGCGGGUACCUCUUGACUUAUCUUUUAUGAUAUUGUCUUUGGAUAUGCAUAGUAUUUUAUAACUACAAGCA